rnacentral:rRNA from 1 species
UACGUAGGGUGCGAGCGUUAAUCGGAAUUACUGGGCGUAAAGCGUGCGCAGGCGGUUAUGUAAGACAGAUGUGAAAUCCCCGGGCUCAACCUGGGAACUGCAUUUGUGACUGCAUGGCUGGAGUGCGGCAGAGGGGGAUGGAAUUCCGCGUGUAGCAGUGAAAUGCGUAGAUAUGCGGAGGAACACCGAUGGCGAAGGCAAUCCCCUGGGCCUGCACUGACGCUCAUGCACGAAAGCGUGGGGAGCAAACAGG